AACACAAAAGGUCUCAAGAGUUUCUUGUAACAAACCAAAACUUUGAGAACUAACUAGAAAAACUAUUUUCUUGAUUGUAUAUAGCUUAAAUCAUGCCAAUCUAUCCACAGGCCAAAAUAUCCUUGACAGACAUAAGUUUAAAGUAAUCUUUCUUCUGUCAAUAGAAAAUCAGGCUACAGAGCGUCCAGACAGAGGGUCUGGGCUCUCGGCUGUUGAGAAACAAUUAGAAUAGAAUAGAAUUACUUUAUUCAUCCCAGCAGGGAAAUUACUUCGCAGUUACAGCAUCUCUAUGCUGUAGAGAUGCUGUACAACAACAACCACCACUGAGUAGCAGUUGUAGACAAAAUAAAAAUGUAAAUUUUUUUCUUUAAAAUUACUCUCUGGAGGUGUGAACUCUGUUGAUGUUUUAACUUUUGCCCAAUUGCGGAUGUUUGAAUGUGACGUAUGUAAUGUACAAGUUUGAUACUAAGAAGCUUACUGGAACUCGCCUGCACUGUAAACGGUUGUUUACAGUGCAGGCAAUGGUUAUCCUCCACUGCAAAAAGUGAAGUGUUGAGCUGAACAAGGCAGCUGCUAAUGUUAGUUCAAGUUGCAUUCUGAGGAUCUGAUAGAGGCGAUCUCUGCCACUGUCUGCAUGUUGGUUCAUUCAGCAAAGUCAGAGAGCCGCUGCUGAGUCAGUGGAGCAUCCUGCUGCAAAUUGGGGCGGAGGAGCAGCGGGUGGGUGCAUUGAAUUUAACUACUCAAAUGGGAUUUGUUCAUAAUAAGUUGUUUAAUGAUGUGCCAAAAGCAUAGUUGUGGUCAAUGUAAUAAUUUGCCUCCUAUAAGUACUGCUAACCUGAUCAUCAGCACCAGCUUUGCUUAUUAUCAGCCCAAUGAAUGGCAGUUAUUAAUGGUGAAGAACGGAAAAAAAAGCAGGACCCAACUUUGUCCAACUUUCCAGACCACUUUUGCUCUGCUGCUGACGAAUAAGUCAGCAGCAGAUGAAUGUUCUGCUUCUGCUUCUUCUUCUUUUUCCUCCAUCCAUCUUCCGCUUAUCCGGGGUCGGGUCGCAGGGGCACACUGGGAAGGCAUUCCCAGUCCAGCUGAGAAACAUAGUCCCUCCAACGUUCUGGGUUGGAGGGAUCUCCCCGGGGUCUCCUCCUGGUGGGAAGUGCCCGGAAGAGUGCCCAGGGAGGCAUCCAGGAGCCAUCAUAACCAGAUGCCCGAGUCACCUCAACUGGCUCCUCUCGACGUGAAGGAGCAGCAGCUCUACUCUGAAUCCCUCUCGGAUGGCCGAGCUUCUCACCCUAUCUCUAAGGGAGAGCCAGCGGAGAAAACUGAUUUAGGCCACUUGUAUCCAUGACCUCGUUCUUUCGGUCAUGACCUAAAGCUCAUGACCAUAGACGAAGGUAGGAACGUAGAGCGACCGGUAAACUCGGCUCUCUCUUUACCAUGACAGACCGGUAUAGCACCCGCUUCGCUGCAGAUGCUGCGCCAAUCUGUCUGUCGAUCUCCUACUCCAUUUUUCCCUCAUUCGUGAACAAGGUCCUGAGAUAAUUAAACUUCUCCACUUGGGGCAGGACAUCCCCCCUGUCCUGGAGAAGGCACUCUAAACUUUUCCUGCUCAAGAUCAUGGCCUCAGAUUUGGAGGCACUGAUCCUCAUCCUGGCUGCUUCACACUCGGCUGCGAACCGCUCCAGCGAAAGCUGUAGAUUACUACCUGAUGAAGCCAAUAGGACCGCAUCAACCGGGACUUCUCUGUGGCAGCUGAAGGAGGAACAGCUUAUCGUGCUCUCUCUCGUCCUUACUUAUAACUUUGCCUUUGAACCAGGACAAAAUGCCUCCGGCCAACCCCAAGGACAUUAGCAGUAUUAUACAACGACUUCAGUCUAUAGAAAUGAAGAUUAAAAUGCUGGAGGUGAACUUUGAGAUCAACUCUACCUGAGGAAAUGAGACAACUCUUCCUCAAUUCAACGAAGAGGUCGUACGCACCGCAUCAAGCAGCCCACCCUGGAACGCUCUGGGUGCCAAGAUGAAGCAAAUGUCUCACACCGCAGAUCCGAUGAGGCAACUGACAGGGAGAACCCCUCACCUGGACGAAUCAGCGUGUCCGGCUCUGAGCCGAAACCCACCUUCAACCUCAACACCUGCUCUACCAAAGAAAAAUAAACAAGCAGCUGAAACCAAAACGGUUCCACCGACCGCGCUCCCAAGGACAAAGCGACCAGCCUGGGCCUCAAAACAUUCUGACUCUGUGGGAAUCCCACUGAAAAACAGAUUUUCUGUACUCCAGCCUGAGCUUCUGAGUGAGACCUCGCCUUCAAACAUCAACAAUGAGGCAAGACCAACACAUCCACCCCCCAAAGCUCCUAAGGACAAAGCGGCUACCAGGAAAACGAAAGGUAUCCCAAAAGUGCUUAUUGUUGGAGAUGAGGCAGUAAAUGGAAUCAGUCACGUUUGCAAUCCCAAGAAAACAAGAGUGAUUUCUUUUCCUGGUGACACUGUACUCUCUCUAACUACUGAUCAGCCAGAUAUUGAGACUUUAGUUGUGCAUGUUGGAGCCAACGAUCUGGCAAAGCAGAAAUAUGAGAUUCUGAUAAAGGACUUUAAUAUUCUUCUGAACACUAUGGGAAAAUUAAAAAUGAAGUUAUUUCUCAGUGGUCCAAUUCCAUCACCUCAAUGGGGAGACGAAAAACACUCCAGGCUGAACAUGAUAAACAAAUGGCUGAUUAAAACCUGCUCUGCCAGCUCAGUGACCUUCAUCGAUAACCUCUGGAUCUAUUGGUAGCACUUUCACCUUUUUGGAAGAGACAGACGCAAUCUUAAUAAACAUGGGACAAAGCUACUAACUGCAAAUCUUUUUCAUCUUAUCAAGGACAGCAAUGUGAUCAUCGCUUCAGAAGAACAGGCUCAAGGAUGUCUGACUAGGAUGGAACCCUGCGCUUAUCAGGAGCAAACCGUUCCAAAACAUGCUGAUACAUCGACUGAAGAUGGAGCGACUGGUUCCCUUCCUCUUUCCCCCCUCCCUCUCUGCUCACCCACUCAUUCACAGGAUUCACAAGAUGCCCAUAAAGAAAUGUCUUCUGGACCGGAGUUUCUUACAUUUACAGAUGGAAUGAAUCAACAGGUUCGCUUCGGCACAUCCCAGAGGAUCCAUCACUCUGCAUUUCUGAGGUCUGAGGCCGGGGUCCAGAUUUUAUCUUUACACCCGUCUUACUCCAGAAUGUGUCUGGCCCCCCGGCACUGCAAAACAGGACAUUACCUGUCCGGAUAACUACAGAAAAUUUACAAAAAACAGAAACAUAAAAUACAGCGGACCUAAUUCAAACCUCAGACUGUUCCACUGCCUAAAGGAACCUCAGACUGAAGAACUUUUGGCCUCAAUUCACUUAAACUAGCUCUUUCAAAUACCAGAUCUCUCUGUGCUAAAGCUCUAUUAAUUAAUGAUUUCAUCACUGAGCAUAAUAUCGAUGUUAUGUCUCUGACAGAAAUAUGGUUGAAUGACAAUAAUGAACCAAUCGUACUAAUUGAAUCAGCGGCUCCUAACUACAAUUUCUUAAGUGAGAAUAGAAAACA